AUGCGCGGCCCGCCGUCCGCGUCCGCCGCCGCCCGCUUCCAGCGCUCGCCCUCGGCGGCGAGGCAGCUGCAGAUCAUCGCCCUCUCUUCAGGACGCCAGUCCUUUACUCGCCACGCGCCGCCGCCGCCUCCCACCGCCGAGUCGCCCGACCCGCCUGGCCAACUGAAGAGGACGUGGAGCGGCGAGGCGCCUCCGCUCGACCCGUCGUUGCCAAAGAACAGCUACCGGCUCCCCUCGCCUCCGUCACUCCUGAGUGCGCCGCCCCCCCCCAGUCAGCCCGGCCCUCAGCCACCGGCUGCCAGCCCGAGGGGGGAGGGGGAGGCCGGAGAGGAGCAGCGAGAGAGAGGACGAGGGGUGAGGCAGGCAGUCCCAAAGGGGGAGACAGAGGGGAAGGAGGAGAGGCAGCGGGAAGAAAGCCUCGUCGCCCGGAAGGAGGCGGAGACGGCCGGAGAGGAGGAGCAAAUGGAGGUGACGGAGGAAGGCCGGAGCGAAGGCGAGGAGAAAAAGAUGGAGCAGGAGGAAGGAGAGGCGGCCAUGGACCAGUCUGAGAUCCAUCUGGAGACGGAGCCUGUCCACGCGCCCGACGCCGCUCACGACUCAGGGGGGGAACCGAAACCCACCACAGGCCUCGUUACGGCCCCAGUCCCAACGGCCCCAGUACCUGUCCCAGUACCGGCCCCAGUACCUGUCGCAGUAACUGUCCCAGUACCGGCCCCAGUAACGGCCCCAGUACCUGUCCCAGUACCGGCCCCAGUAACGGCCCCAGUACCGGCCCCAGUACCGGCCCCAGUACCUGUCCCAGUAACUGUCCCAGUACCGGCCCCAGUACCUGUCCCAGUAACUGUCCCAGUACCUGUACCAGUACCGGCCCCAGUACCGGCCCCAGUACCAGCCCCAGUACCUGUCCCAGUGCCGGCCCCAGUACCAGCCCCAGUACCUGUCCCAGUGCCGGUCCCAGUACCUGUCCCAGUGCCGGAGGUCUCCGUCCAAAGUCAGUCUCACCAGGACCUGCAGCCGGUCAGCCAGGAGGACUUCUGUGAGAACAUGUCAACGCAAUCCGACAACCAGUCAGGUGGGUCAGAGUUCAACCCUCGCUGA
ensembl:lncRNA